UGUAGCAUAGCGUAGUGGUGCAGUGUGUUGUUGUGGAUCAGCCGAUCGUGGGUUCGAGUCCCAAUGUUGCCA
rnacentral:tRNA from 1 species